rnacentral:rRNA from 1 species
GGAUUGCCCUAGUAACGGCGAGUGAAGCGGCAGCAGCUCAAAUUUGAAAUCUGGCCCCGGGCCCGAGUUGUGAUUUGCAGAGGAGGUUUUGGAGUCGCUCCGGCCUAGGUUCCUUGGAAUAGGACGUCACAGAGGGUGAGAAUCCCGUACGUGGCUAGGAGGCCUCUCCGUGCAAAGCCCCUUCGACGAGUCGAGUUGUUUGGGAAUGCAGCUCUAAAUGGGAGGUAAAUUUCUUCUAAAGCUAAAUACCGGCCAGAGACCGAUAGCGCACAAGUAGAGUGAUCGAAAGAUGAAAAGCACUUUGGAAAGAGAGUUAAAAAGUACGUGAAAUUGUUGAAAGGGAAGCGUUUGUAGCCAGCCCCGACGGUAGUUGCUCAACCGGUCUCUGCCCGGUGCACUCUUCUGCCGACGGGCCAGCAUCAGUUCAGGUGGCCGGAUAAAGGCCUGGGGAACGUAGCUCCUCGGAGUGUUAUAGCCCCUAGCACAAUGCGGUCAGCCCGGACUGAGGACAGCGAUCCACGGAUGCUGGCGUAAUGGCUGCCAACGGCCCGUCUUGAAACACGGACCAAGGAGUCUAACAUCUAUGCGAGUGUUUGGGUGCCAAACCCGUGCGCGCAAUGAAAGUGAACGGAGGUGGGAGCUUCGGCGCACCAUCGACCGAUCCUGAUGUCUUCGGAAGGAUUUGAGUAAGAGCAUAGCUGUUGGGACCCGAAAGAUGGUGAACUAUGCCUGAAUAGGGUGAAGCCAGAGGAAACUCUGGUGGAGGCUCGCAGCGGUUCUGACGUGCAAAUCGAUCGUCAAAUUUGGGUAUAGGGGCGAAAGACUAAUCGAACCAUUGACACCAGCCUUUGCUAGGUGGUUUAGAGCGGUUAUUUACCGUUAGUUGGGUUACACCGUCAAAUUGCGGGGACGCUUCUGCGUUGCUCCGGAUACCUCCUAGGUGCUUGAAAAGGCACCUAAGCCCCUGACAUCUUGUUAGGGAGAAGGUUAUGCCACUGGAGAAGCGGGCGACCUGCAGCCAAACCCGUCCAAGCNGCGGGNGCAGUUCACAGACUNCAAGUCGGUGNGUACUCAUGUACCUAANAUAUAGUCGGAAGUACCNGGAUACGGGUACAUUCUAAGGAGCUAGUAGCUGGUUCCUGCCGAAGUUUCCCUCAGGAUAGCAGUAACGAUUUCAGUUUUAUGAGGUAAAGCGAAUGAUUAGAGGCCUNGGGGUUGAAACAACCUUNACCUAUUCUCAAACUUUAAAUA